ensembl:lncRNA
UUUUAUUACAGUCAUUUUGCCGUGUAACAGCAGUUGUGCAAUUAUAACGUCUAAAUUACCACAGUCGACUGCAGUUCCUGCACUUUUACUGUAGUAAUGAAAAACAUGUAAGGGCCUCCAGUCCAGCAGGUGUCGAUAAACUCCGAAAUACGCCGUGCAGACCAACAACAUCAUAGUGAGUGUGUCAUUGCCGAUCUUUCGGUUUACUACAGUACACUCAGUUUGUAAUGAUAAUUUCUAGUUGCUAGAAAUAUAAUUUUGAAAAUACAGCCUUUAAGAGUGUUUCUGAGCGAGCGACUAACAGUGGUCGCUGUGGAGAUACACGCUGUGGUUGAAAAAACGAUAGCCGAGUAUCAGGCAGAUGUUUCCCUUUCAUAGGGGGAGAUCCGGCGUUUACGGAUGCUGCUGAAAUUGCAAAGAGCAGCUCUGGAUGUAAGCUGUGAAAGGAUGGAGAAUGGAGGAGAAAGAUCCCAUCAGAAGUCAACUGCUCAAGGUCAUUCGGGUCCACGUUGUAAGGUUAGCGUGAGUGACGACGAUGAGGCAUUCGAGAGACAAAUAACUGUCCUGGAGAAAGAAAACAGAAGGCUGGAGAAGGACCAGUAUCAGCACCAGUAUUGGAACCGAGCAUCCAAAACAGGUAACUUUCUAAAAGUGUUCAGAUUUUUCUGGGGUUGUUUUCUGGUAUACAUCACAUCUCUUAAGUCUGAUGAAUGUUGACUAUUAUUUUUUACGUUCUACAUUUCAGACUGACAUUGGAGGAGGGAUAAUGGUUUCAGAGGCAGCGCUCCACUACAUUGAUCAUUCACACCACCAUAAGCUUACCAAUGGCCUUCUGACGCUGUUGUUCUCAAACGAGGAGCUGGCAGAGAGCAGCCUCAGUGGAAAGAGGUGUAAUGCUCACAAGAAUGAUAAUGUCAAGAAGGGCCUUGACAUCAGACGCCUUGAGCCCAUUGUUGGAUGUCAUGGAGAAAUGUGUUGUCGGAAAAAAAGAUGUAUUCACAAUUAUCGGCGUAAACUCAAUUAUGAAGACAAGCUGUCAAAAGGACUUAUUUCAAGGAGGAGGAAGAAAUAGAUAUCAUUGAACUACUGCCCAUCAUAUAUAUAUGUAUGUAUGUACAGUGGGGCAAAAAAGUAUUUAGUCAGCCACCACUUGUGCAAGUUCUCCCACUUAACAAGAUGAGAGAGGCCUGUAAUUUUCAUMAUAGGUACACUUCAACUAUGACAGACAAAAUGAGAAAAAAAAUCCAGAAAAUCACAUUGUAGUAUUUUUAUGAAUUUUUUGCAAAUUAUGGUGGAAAAUAAGUAUUUGGUCAAUAACAAAAGUUUAUCUCAAUACUUUGUUAUAUACCCUUUGUUGGCAAUGACAGAGGUCAAACGUUUUCUGUAAGUYUUCACAAGGUUUUCACACACUGUUGCUGGUGUUUUGGCCCAUUCCUCCAUGCAGAUCUCCUCUAGAGCAGUGAUGUUUUGGGGCUGUUGCUGGGCAACACGGACUUUCGGGGCCUCAACUUACUGUUGAGAGUUCAAAUAGUAGAAUACACAAGGUGUAAGUUUGAAAUUUGGUUGUGCAUCAGAAGUUUUUCUUUUGUUUUGUCAGUCACUCAAUUAGCCGUGUCAGCUAACAAUUUUUAGAUUAGAUAAAUCACUAGAUUCAUUUACCUAACUUGUACCGUCUACUCAGGGCACAUGCCCAGGGGCCCAAACCUCCAGGGGGCCCCCAUUGAUUUUGUUAAGGGUCAGACACUGAGAAAUCUGACUGUCAACUGUUCACUUUUGUUGUUAACAUAGAACAGGUUUGCCCCCCAAUUUGCUUCGUUUAAACACUCCAGGCCACAAGGUGGCAGUCGGUGGUGGAAAAAGUACCCAAUUGUCAUACUUGAGUAAAAGUAAAUAUACCUUAUUGGAAAAUGACUGAAGUGAAAGCUACCCAGUAAAAUUGUACUUGAGUAAAAGUCUAAAAGUAUUUGGUUUAAAAUAUACUUCAGUAUCAAAAGUACAUGUAAUUACUCAAAUAUAUUUAAGUAUCAAAAGUAAAAGUAUAAAUCAUUUUAAAUUCAUUAUAUUAAGCAAACAGACAGCACCAUUUUCUUGUUUUAAUUUUUUUUUACGGAUAGCCAGAGGCACACUCCAACAUUCAGACAUAAUUUACAAACGAAACAUGUGUGUUUAGCGAGUCCGCCAGAUCAGAGGCAGUAGGGAUGACCAGUGAUCUUCUCUUGAUAAGAGGGUGAAUUGGACAAUUUUCCUGUCCUGCUAAGCAUUCAAAAUGUAAUGAGUACUUUUGGGUGUUAAGGAAAAUGUAUGGAGUAAGAAAUAUAAUAUUUUCUUAAGGAAAGUAGUGUAGUAAAUGUAGUCAAAAAUAUAAAAAGUACAGAUACCCCAAAAAACGACUUAAGUAGUACUUUAAAGUAUUUUUACUUAAGUACUUUACACCACAGGUGGCAGUAGCUUGUUUGUCUUGUGCCUGCUGUAGCUAAUGUAAGCUAACUAGUAAGCUGUGCUAAUGUUGUUUUAAGAUAGCUAGAAUUUGUAGUGAACCUUCGUUGACACUAACCAGAUAGCCACAACUAAAUAACUAGCAUAGCUAGCAACAUUAUAUUUAAAUAACAAUGGAUUUGUUUUUGUAUGAAACAGCUGCCUGUUAGCUGUCAAGAGUCUGUGGAGUAACUGGCUAGCUAUGUUGUGCUAGCAAGCAAACUGGCACUGGCAGUGUGGGAGAGUGAAUUAAAUUAUUUCUUCAUCAUUUUGCUAGUUAUGUAGCUUGGGAAAGCAUUUAGUGUUGUGUGCAUUGUGCUGGACUUACCACCCCAUUAGUGUCAUAUGAAGUGUGUGUGACUGCCUGGCUCAGUUAACUAUACUGAAUGACUGUGCAAAGUUGCUGGAUAUUGGCAGGAGCUGGAACACGCUGUCAUACACGUUGAUCCAGAGUAUCCCAAACAUGCUCAAUGGGUGACAUAUCUGGUGAGCAUGCAGGCCAUGGAAGAACUGGGACAUUUUCUGUUUCCAAGAAUUGUGUAAAGAUCCUUGCGACAUGGGGCCGUGCAUUAUCAUGCUGGAACAUGAGGUGAUGUCGGUGGAUGAAUGGCAUGACAAUGGGCCUCAGGAUCCCGUCACAGUAUUUCUGUGCACUCAAAUUGCCAUCGAUAAAAUGCAAUUGUGUUUUUUUUGUCCAUAGCUAAUGCCUGCCCAUAACCCCACUGCCACCAUAGGGCACUCUGUUCACAACGUUGACAUCCUCAAACCGCUCACCCACAUAAAGCCAUACACAUGGUCUGCGGUUGUUAGGCCGGCUGGAUGUACUGCCAAAUUCUAUAAAAUGACAUUGGAGGCGGCUUAUGGUAGAGAUAUUAACAUGCAAUAGCUCUGGUGGACAUUCCUGCAAAUAGCGUGCUAAUUGCAAACUCUGUAAAACAUAGACAUCUGUGGCAUUGUGUUGUGUGACAACACAGAACAUUUUAAAGUGGCCUUUUAUUGUCCCCAGCACAAGAUGCACCAGUGUAAUAAGCAUGCUGUUUAAUCAGCGUCUUGAUAUGCCACAGCUGUCAGGUGGAUAGAUUAUUUUGGCAAAGGAGAAAUGUUCACUAACAGGGAUGUAAAUAAAUGUGUGCACAGAAUUUGAGAGAAAUAGGAUUUUUAAGCAUAUGGAACAUUUAUGGGAUCUUUUAUUUCAGCUUAUGAAACAUGGUACAAACACGUUAUGUGUUGUGUUUUACAUUUUUGUUCAGUGUAGUUAACAAACGAAUGAGAAAAAUAGUUCUUAAAGCACAAAACUCGUCAGCUAGAUGUGAAGACUUGCUCUAGAACAUUUUUUGAUGAUGCAGAUUUAAUUUUUUCUUUUGGAAAAGUUUUAUUGGCACAAUUCCUUUAAAAAGCUCAUACAUUUUUACAUCAUUUAUACACAUAAAAACGGCAACAAAGCAUAAAACACAGCAUUUGAAAGUUACAUUUAAAUUUGUUAAAAAGUACAUGUUUAAAACCAAUGAAAACAACCAUUAAUAAAAGUACUUUCCUUGUAAAAACAUCAAAUCUGUGAAGCCAUUUAAAAUGUGUACUAAUGAUCUAACAAAGGUAAAACAUUUUUAAGACAUGAAAAACAUGUUAAAAAGCCACUUUGUUAAAAAGCUGUCUUCAGUCCCUUGUACAGGAGCGGGGUGAGUCGUUAUCAAGCUCACCUCAUCCUGCUCUUCUGAAUAGAUCAUCGUCCCGUCCUUCGGGGCCCAGAGGAGAACCCUCCCCUAGGCGCAUCGCCCUAGGCGCCGCAGCGCUGUCAGGCCGUGGCCGCCGGGACCUAGGGUGUUGUGGGGGACCCUUCGCCUGGGGUCGAGGCCCCCUUCCUUUCGUACCACCCCAGGGCUUCCGUAGCUACCAUGGCCACUGCCUGGGGGGUGGUCUCUACGUUUUUCGCUACCAGCAGGUUACGGGAGGACCACAGUGCUUCCUUCAGGCACGUGAGGGUGGGCCAGAGCUUGGUGAAGGUCUUCGAUGAAAUGGGCCUUCGGCCCACCCCAUACAGCACGAGCUGAGGUGUUAGGUCCUCCCCUGCUGGCAGACACGAGGUGAUCAGGGGGCCUGCUUCCUUCCACAGGUCCCUGGCGGCUCUGCACUCCCAGAGCAUGUGCCUCACGGAUCUUUUGGCCGCAGCCUGGUCGGGGGCACGCGGAUGUCCUCGCCAUGCCCCGUGAUGCAUAACGGGCCCUGACCGGGAGGAUCUCGUGGGCGACCCU